rnacentral:rRNA from 1 species
AGUCGAACGGCAGCACGGGUGCUUGCACCUGGUGGCGAGUGGCGAACGGGUGAGUAAUACAUCGGAACGUACCUUAUCGUGGGGGAUAACGCAGCGAAAGUUGCGCUAAUACCGCAUACGCCCUGAGGGGGAAAGCGGGGGACCGUAAGGCCUCGCGCGAUUAGAGCGGCCGAUGUCUGAUUAGCUUGUUGGUGAGGUAAAAGCUCACCAAGGCGAUGAUCAGUAGCUGGUCUGAGAGGACGAUCAGCCACACUGGGACUGAGACACGGCCCAGACUCCUACGGGAGGCAGCAGUGGGGAAUUUUGGACAAUGGGGGCAACCCUGAUCCAGCAAUGCCGCGUGAGUGAAGAAGGCCUUCGGGUUGUAAAGCUCUUUUGUCAGGGAAGAAACAGCAGCUCUAACACAGUCUGCGAAUGACGGUACCUGAAGAAUAAGCACCGGCUAACUACGUGCCAGCAGCCGCGGUAAUACGUAGGGUGCGAGCGUUAAUCGGAAUUACUGGGCGUAAAGCGUGCGCAGGCGGUUAUACAAGACAGGCGUGAAAUCCCCGGGCUUAACCUGGGAAUGGCGUCUGUGACUGUAUAGCUAGAGUGUGUCAGAGGGGGGUGGAAUUCCACGUGUAGCAGUGAAAUGCGUAGAUAUGUGGAGGAACACCAAUGGCGAAGGCAGCCCCCUGG